rnacentral:misc_RNA from 1 species
UCCGUGUUAACCACGGCAGUCUCUUUAGAGUGCCCAACUGAAUGCUGGCAACUAAAGACAAGGGUUGCGCUCGUUGCGGGACUUAACCCAACAUGUCACCACACGAGCUGACGACAGCCAUGCAGCACCUGUCAUUCGGUCGUAUUGCUACGAAAACCGGAUUUCUCCGGCGGUCCGAGGAUGUCAAACCCAGGUAAGGUUCUUCGCGUUGCUUCGAAUUAAACCACAUGAUCCACCGCUUGUGCGGGCCCCCGUCAAUUCCUUUGAGUUUUAGUCUUGCGACCGUACUUCCCAGGCGGGGCACUUAGUGCGUUAGCUCCGGCUCAGCAGGGGUCAAGACCCGCUAAGCCUAGUGCCCAUCGUUUACGGCGUGGACUAC